rnacentral:rRNA from 1 species
GAUGAACGCUGGCGGCGUGCCUAAUACAUGCAAGUCGAGCGAACAGACGAGGAGCUUGCUCCUCUGAUGUUAGCGGCGGACGGGUGAGUAACACGUGGAUAACCUACCUAUAAGACUGGGAUAACUUCGGGAAACCGGAGCUAAUACCGGAUAACAUGUUGAACCGCAUGGUUCAACAGUGAAAGACGGUCUUGCUGUCACUUAUAGAUGGAUCCGCGCCGCAUUAGCUAGUUGGUAAGGUAACGGCUUACCAAGGCAACGAUGCGUAGCCGACCUGAGAGGGUGAUCGGCCACACUGGAACUGAGACACGGUCCAGACUCCUACGGGAGGCAGCAGUAGGGAAUCUUCCGCAAUGGGCGAAAGCCUGACGGAGCAACGCCGCGUGAGUAAAGAAGGUCUUCGGAUCGUAAAACUCUGUUAUUAGGGAAGAACAAAUGUGUAAGUAACUAUGCACGUCUUGACGGUACCUAAUCAGAAAGCCACGGCUAACUACGU